CCAGCCUUAUUUUUCUUACUCCCUUUUAUAGACAAGGUUCUUGUAACCGUCGGAUGUGGUUCCGUAUUUUAUGGUGCUAAAUCAUCGGACUAUUAUCACGUAGUGGAUCGUCAACUCCCACUGAUCGCGCCGUGAUAUACGGUCGGUAACUGUUUAUGAUGGUUAUGAUAUAUUUGGAUUGACUGGCCAACCAUAUGUCGGUAGAAUCCAUGAGCGACCGUCGGCUAGUAGUUCUGUAAUGCUGAUGGUCUAAGUCAUCCGCUGUCGAUCGGUAGUAGUCGAAUUAUUAGUCGGUCAGUCGGUAAUAGAUCGGUACAGUUCGCUCAGUUGAUCGAUGAAGAGUCGGAACCACAUAAUCAGCCGAUGUAGAGUCGGUCGGGAUUGUAUAUCUGAUCGGUCGGCUGUUGUUGAGUCGGUAGUCGGUUGACCUGAAUCAUAUCUGUUUGUGGGGCCAGAGUCGGAUGUUAGUCAGUCUGCGCUAGAGAUCAGUUAGUUUAUGGAGGUCGAUCAGUUUAUCCCAAUAAUAUAUAUGUAUGUAUGUAUUUCAUUGUUGAUUCCAUUGCUCUCUCUUGUUGGGUAACUGUUAUCUUAUGAAAGCCAAGCCAUAAAAACUUUUGUGGAUCUGGCAUGUGAUAUGCACAUGGAAGAGUUGGUCUUAGGAAUUUUGAUGAUGUAUCCCUCUAGAG
rnacentral:lncRNA from 1 species